UACAGGGGGUGCAAACGUUGCUCGGAAUCAUUGGGCGUAAAGCGCGCGUAGGCGGCUCGGAAAGUCGGGCGUGAAAUGCCGGGGCUCAACCCCGGGACUGCGUCCGAUACUUCCGAGCUGGAGGUAGGUAGGGGAGAUCGGAAUUCCUGGUGUAGCGGUGAAAUGCGCAGAUAUCAGGAGGAACACCGGUGGCGAAGGCGACCACCUGGCCUAACACUGACGCUGAGGUGCGAAAGCGUGGGUAGCAAACAGG
rnacentral:rRNA from 1 species